AGGACGAACGCUGGCGGCGUGCUUAACACAUGCAAGUCGAGCGGAAAGGCCCUUCGGGGUACUCGAGCGGCGAACGGGUGAGUAACACGUGAGCAACCUGCCCUUAGCUUCGGGAUAGCUCCGGGAAACCGGAAUUAAUACCGGAUAUGACUAUGGCCGACAUCAGCCAUGGUGGAAAGUUUUUCGGCUAGGGAUGGACUCGCGGCCUAUCAGCUAGUUGGUGAGGUAACGGCUCACCAAGGCGACGACGGGUAGCCGGCCUGAGAGGGCGACCGGCCACACUGGGACUGAGACACGGCCCAGACUCCUACGGGAGGCAGCAGUGGGGAAUAUUGCGCAAUGGGCGAAAGCCUGACGCAGCGACGCCGCGUGGGGGAUGAAUGCCUUCGGGUUGUAACCCCUUUCAGCAGGACGAAGCGAAGUGACGGUACCUGCAGAGAAGCGCCGGCUAACUACGUGCCAGCAGCCGC
rnacentral:rRNA from 1 species